UACGGAGGGUGCAAGCGUUGUCCGGAAUCACUGGGCGUAAAGGGCGCGUAGGCGGCCUUCUAAGUCGAACGUGAAAUCCCCGGGCUCAACCCGGGAACUGCGUCCGAUACUGGGAGGCUUGAAUCCGGGAGAGGGAUGUGGAAUUCCAGGUGUAGCGGUGAAAUGCGUAGAUAUCUGGAGGAACACCGGUGGCGAAGGCGGCAUCCUGGACCGGUUAUUGACGCUGAGGCGCGAAAGCCAGGGAGGCAAACGGG
rnacentral:rRNA from 1 species